UUGUAAACAAGUUACGGUACCCAAGUUACAAUGAAAACUUUUUUUUUUAAUCUGGGAUCUAAAUUCUAGAUCAAGAUUAUUCUAGAUCCAAUCUAGAUGUAGAAUAAUAAUCUAUCUAUCAUCUAGUAGAUCCAUGGACGAUUAAUUAUAGGUUUACUAGAUCUAUAAUUAGACUAGUCUAGUAACUAGACUCUAGGCCUCCGCCUACUACUUAGUCUUAGUAACUUAGUACUACUAGUCUAGGCCUAGGGAGAUCUAGAUCUAGAUUCUAAAUCUAGAAAUCUAGAUGUUCAAUGAUGUUGUGAUCAUCGUAGCCGACCCAAAUUUCAGCAUGAAGUCGAGCCCUAUUAUGCAGUCAUCUGUGUCUUGCUAUCUGACCGGAUGGCUGAUCGUGUGGCACCAGUAUCAAGGAGAAAGUGGUAGUUCUGACCUCCAAUUUUUCCGUUGACUUUUAGGCUCCUACUCUGCCCUAGCACGGCGACCAGGAUUACGGUUGCAGGGAGUCUCAUUCUCUUUGUCGCCGGGUUCCGCCCCUUUGAAGCCGACCUGUGCUAGUUUUCCUGGUAGCCCCUGAAACUUUGUCGUGCAUACAUUUCUGAUCUGUGAUGGGUUCCGGUUUGUCGAAAUCUUCUAGUGCAGAUUCUUUGUAUAUGGCCAAGUUCACCACAAUUCCAAAUUCGUACAGGGGCCCUAGAUUGAUCUUCUGGUAUCUGGGUUGUUCGUUGUUCAUCCAGUGCCUCUGUCACCCUUCUGACAAGUUGUGCGAAUCUUUGACUUCCAGCCUUUGGCCUUGAUGAGUGCUCCCACAUGCGUCUUUAGCAGCUUCAAAUGAGAGAGCGUAUACUAGGGCUUCGCUGGCCUUGAAUUUAGCACUAACUCUGGUGGCUUUCUUCAACUCAUGGUCUCGAAGCGCAUCAAAGAAAGCGUCUGUAAUGAUGUGCGGCGGUUGAAUAGGACGAAUGUGCGAGGCGUUCGAUGUCUGUUUCAUCGGGGCGCUGUUGUCGGGUCUUCAUUUGUACUCGAUAAACUUCUUGCAAAUGUGCAUCCCCGUAUUUUAGUUCCAUAGCUUGUACGAGAGUGGCGAAGUCUUGCUGGUUCGGUAGAGAUUGAAGCAGUUCGGAUACCUUUCCUCUUAGAGAGAACAUAAGGGCAGUUCCUUUCUUCUCCUCGCUGUUCCAUUUGUUAACUUUAGCGGGUGCCUCAAAUUGCUUCUUGUACACGGACCAGGACACGGAACCAUCAAAUAUGGGGGGAUGGGAAGAGGGCUUCAUGUUCGGAGACUUCCGUUACAAAUGACGUCAUAUUUGUUUCCGAUGCAUUAGUGUGCUUACAGUGAACUUGCGUCUUUAAUUCUUCGAUGGCCUUCUCCACUGCGUCAACUCUCUGAUUCAUCUGUUCAUCAAUAGUGGUGAUUCUUUCCUCCACAGCAUGUGUGCGUUGGUUCAUAGCCAAUAACUCGAUUUUGAUUCCCGAGUCUUUGGUAUUUAUCUUGGAGUACAUGGCAUAUAUCUUGGAACUGGUGUUUCCUAGCCCCGUAUUCAUCUCUUCUCGCAUAGAGUUCAAGAGCCCCUCCAUAUCUGAUUCGACUUCCAAAAGAUACAUGAGGAAAAGGAAGGGAGAUAGGAUGCACCCCUGUCUCACACCUGUCUAGAUGCUAAAAAAAACUCUGUUGUUCCUUCUUCUGUUUUAAUGCAGCAACUAGACUGACUGUAUAUGUGUCCUAGGAUCUGGACGAAUUAUUCUGGGAUUCUCAGGCUAUUUUCCAUAGUGAUUUUCGCUAGACACUAUCAAACACUUUCUUAAAGUCUACGAAAUUGAUCGUUAGCCGUUGUUGAUACUCAAGACUUUGUUGUAUGAUAUUUCGUAGAACGAAGAUCUGCUCUGCAAAUUAUCUGCCUCUUCGGAAGCCUGUUUGUUCUUCUCUGAGCCUCUUAUCUACAGACUGUUGAAGCCGUCUCAAUAAAACAGUACUGAACACUUGUGCUGACUAGAUCAAAGGCUUUUAACAGGUCGACAAAUAUACAAAGGCAUCCUUUGUUCUCUGUUUUUUUCCUGAAGUUGAUGGAUGGAGAAAAUCGUAUCAUUUGUGGAUCUCCCGGAGGGAAAGCCGCACUGUGAUUCUGUAUACACCCGAUCAGUAAGUUUUUGUAGUCUGGGAAGUAUCACUUGAGCAAAGACUUUGCCUACAAUACUUAGUAGGGAGAUUCUCCUGUUAUAUUUGCAAUCGCUUCUGUCACCUUUGUUCUUACACAGACUGAGGAAAAUCAGAAGACAGGAGAAGAGGCAAAGGCGAGCAACCGGCGCCUAAACUAGCACGCUUCCUGCAGGAGGGGCUCGUUAGCCUUGGUUGGCUACCCAUCUAGGAGAAAGAAAACUCUGAAUGCAAUACAAAUGUUUUAUAGCUAAACUUGACAUUUCCCUUUGGUUUAUUUAAGAAAAAUGAAUUGCUUUAGGUCUGUAGAUUCAACAUUUUUAUAUUCUCUCAAUUUUGUUAAUACUUGGUAUCUGUUUUUUUUGUUUUCUUCAGGCCAUCGAUUGAUGAUUACAAGACAGAAAAAAAUUGAAUGAGUCAUUGAACAAUAAAAAGAAGGAAUACCAAGUUCCUGGCCAUUCUACAUCAUUUUGUUUUCAAAUUGUAUACAAAGUAUCAAUUGAUCUUGAAGAUAUUAAAGUGUUAAAAUAAUCAA